rnacentral:rRNA from 1 species
AACCACAGGGAUUACCUCAGUAACGGCGAGUGAAGCGGUAACAGCUCAAAUUUGAAAGCUCGCUCUUUUAGGGUGCGCAUUGUAAUUUGUAGAAGAUGCUUCGGGUGUGGCCCCGGUCUAAGUUCCUUGGAACAGGACGUCAUAGAGGGUGAGAAUCCCGUAUGUGACUGGGUGCUUUCGCUCAUGUGAAGCUCUUUCGACGAGUCGAGUUGUUUGGGAAUGCAGCUCAAAAUGGGUGGUAAAUUUCAUCUAAAGCUAAAUAUUGGCCAGAGACCGAUAGCGCACAAGUAGAGUGAUCGAAAGAUGAAAAGCACUUUGGAAAGAGAGUUAAACAGUACGUGAAAUUGUUGAAAGGGAAGCGCUUGCAACCAGACUUGCGCGCUGAUGAUCAUCCGGGCUUCUGUCCGGUGCACUCGUCUGCGCUCAGGCCAGCAUCGGUUUCGGUGGUGGGAUAAAGGCCUUGGGAAUGUAGCUUCUUUCGGGGAGUGUUAUAGCCCUCGGUGCAAUGCCGCCUACCGGGACCGAGGACCGCGCUUCGGCUAGGAUGCUGGCGUAAUGGUUGUAAGCGACCCGUCUUGAAACACGGACCAAGGAGUCUAACAUCUAUGCGAGUGUUUGGGUGUCAAACCCAUACGCGUAAUGAAAGUGAACGGAGGUGAGAACCCUUAAGGGUGCAUCAUCGACCGAUCCUGAUGUCUUCGGAUGGAUUUGAGUAAGAGCAUAGCUGUUGGGACCCGAAAGAUGGUGAACUAUGCGUGAAUAGGGUGAAGCCAGAGGAAACUCUGGUGGAGGCUCGCAGCGGUUCUGACGUGCAAAUCGAUCGUCAAAUUUGCGUAUAGGGGCGAAAGACUAAUCGAACCAUC